CCGCCAAAACUUUGGGCAGCGCCGCCCGAGAGGGGCACGGGAGCCGGGGCGCGGGCAGGAGCAGCCCGAGGAAAACAACAACAGAGCCCUCACGCCGGCGGGCGGCUCGUGGCCGCCCGGGGAGCCCCAAACUUCAUCUCGGCUAAAGUACGUGGAGCCCAGCUUGGGCUCGGCUGCCGGGGAGGUGGGGCCUGGGGAGUCGGGGCAAGGGAGGAAGGUACGAGCA
rnacentral:lncRNA from 1 species